rnacentral:rRNA from 1 species
CCUACGGGAGGCAGCAGUCGAGAAUCAUUCACAAUGGGGGAAACCCUGAUGGUGCGACGCCGCGUGGGGGAAUGAAGGUCUUCGGAUUGUAAACCCCUGUCAUGUGGGAGCAAAUUAAAAAGAUAGUACCACAAGAGGAAGAGACGGCUAACUCUGUGUCAGCAGCCGCGGUAAUACAGAGGUCUCAAGCGUUGUUCGGAAUCACUGGGCGUAACGCGUGCGUAGGCUGUUUCGUAAGUCGUGUGUGAAAGGCGCGGGCUCAACCCGCGGACGGCACAUGAUACUGCGAGACUAGAGUAAUGGAGGGGGAACCGGAAUUCUCGGUGUAGCAGUGAAAUGCGUAGAUAUCGAGAGGAACACUCGUGGCGAAGGCGGGUUCCUGGACAUUAACUGACGCUGAGGCACGAAGGCCAGGGGAGCGAAAGGGAUUAGAUACCCGGGUAGUC